AUAUCUUUAAGGGAAUGACAUGACAUAUCGAUUUGUCGAAGUAUUGUACCAAAACAAUUUAAACAUAAUUUAAAUUUACAACAUUUUUUUGUUUAUAUAGAAAGUCGAAUACAAAGUCAAAUAACAAUAAAAUAUAAAAUCGAUAUGUCAUCCACUCAAAAAUAUUAUUCUCUAUCUUUUUUGUAAUAGAUGAUUUUACUCUAAGAUUACUUAAAAACAUAGAAAAAAUGAUUCUACGUUAAUGCAUUUUGUACAUGUUGCGCGUGAGCCAGAGAGAGAAAACAAAUAGUGCACUGACAUCCUUGAAUAUUUAUAUAAAUAUUUAUAUAUUUAUCAAACUUGAGUCUUGACAAUAUACAUAAUCGUUUUUAAACUAAUACAUUUUAUUCAUUUUCUACCUAAGAUAAUAUGAGUAGGCCGACUUUACACGAUAAUAUAAAACACGAUAGUUGCUAUCAUGCAUGACCUAUAAACUUUGUUUUUUAGCUCUUUUUUUAAAUUCUAAAAAAAUAACCGUAAAUACAUAUAACUAUUAAAUUAUUUAUAUUAUAUUAGCAGAUUCUAUAAACUUUUCGGAAUGUCGCUAAUCUUUUAACAUACGAUUUAUCAAUAGACCGUAUUAUAGGUAGGUACUGAGUAUAAUAUAUAAGUUCUAUGGAUUUAUCAUAGUAAAUAAUAUAUUUUAUAUCAUCUAUGGCAAUCGUCAAUUGUCGACAUUAUUGAUGACAUUCAUUGGCGACGAUUAACAAUUCUAAUAAUUUCAGUAAAUAAAAAAAUAAUUAUAAUAUAAUAUAAUAUAUAUGUAUAUUAUGUAAGUUAUAUAUUAUACAUCAAUAUAGAUGGACAGUUCGUUAAGCCGUAUAUAUUAUAAUUUUCAGUUCAGAGCGAGAUGAAGAUGGAUGAAGCUGUUUCUUCGGCGACGGUACUCUAGCUAAGUUUCACCAGAAGAGUCGAUGUUUACGCUUGUUUAUGGAUAAUGUUGUAGGAGUUUUGGGUGACACGAAGUAAUACUUCAAAUAUACACAAAUUGAAAUAAAGAACGCACUUAUUAUGGCUUAUCAUAAGAAGUCCAGUUGUUGCACGUUGAAAUCGGUAUUGAGAUUUGAGAGGUGGCUGGUGCUCAUGCACUGGUUUAAGGGACGACACGGAUAUGCCGACCAGAGAGCGUGUUUGCUGGGAUUCGCUGAUCGUGUACGGGUUCAAGUUUCAUAACACAUUCAUCAGAUGGAUCCAAUUUACUAAAUUUUAAACAUAAAUAAAUAUGACACCAGCCAUCACCAGAUAUAACGAUUAAAGCGUUACUGCCAC